AAAUGUACCAUGGUAUUACCAUAACUGUACUUGUUUGUAAGGAAAAUACGUGAACUACAGCAAAGUUAACUUACAAGUGACUAUUAGAUAAAUAGUAGGGCUACUAAUUGAUGUUUUGACGCUCAAGAUUAACUAAACAACAUAUAUAUAUAUAUAUAUAUAUAUUUUUUUUUAAAUCUGAUUAAUAUUUUUAAUAUUAUCAGCAGGCCUACAGUAUUAAAUAUUUGCUGUUCGAUUCGCAAAUGUUAUUAUAUUUAUUGCGAUUAAUUAAAAUAAACACACAUGACAAACCGAAAUCGCGCCUGAGUGCAUCUUCAACCGUCACUCUUCGCGCGCAAAAUAAUUUGAACUUUAUCUAUCUCAUUUAACGUUUCAUCAAAACGACAUCGACAAACUUUACAAUUGUUGAUGAAACACGUCAGCCAGUGUUGGUAAACUCACCUGUUAAAGUCUCCUCAUGACAGAUUUAUUAAAUAAACCAGUUCAGUCGAUCUUCUGCCGCGGUGACGUCAUCUCGACAGCAGAAGUUGAUGAAUGAAUUCGUCCUUCUACAGUGACGUGAGGUUCGUCCGGUGAGCAUAAUUGAUUUACUGUCAGACAGACACUGAGAUUCUGGUCAUUCAAUCCAAUCAUCACGACAGCGUUUACAUCGAGUCUGCCACAGAGAGCAAGAGAAAAUACCAGCAUGCCGGUUUGGACCGAUGUGACGAAGGCCAGAGAUCACCUAGAAUCCACCUAGCAACCACCCAAAAUACCCAACUGCAUAGCAACGCCCUGGCAACCACCCACAAAACUCCAGCAUUAUGAUGGCCACGGCUACAGAAAACAGCUCAGCGAGAUAAGAUGCUGCACUGCAAAACGCUAACGUCACGUUGAUUCCCCUUUGAUUAUCUUUGUUCACUUUUAGGUUCAGUCUGGGGUAAAAGGGUCGCUGUCGGUACUAAAGAAACCCCCGCGAGCGCUGCCGUCACCCCGGGCAGAAACAGAGCAGGGGUCCCUGGUAUCUGGAUCUGAGGAGCGCGUUCGAACCCCCGUCCCGGCGUCUCCACCCGCUCCCAGCAGGAGAUAACCUGCAGUAAUGAUGCCCACCUUGAGCAGCAAAAGCUUGAUUUCAUCGCUCCAGACACGUGCCGCUGCCUCCAUGUGUCUGCGUGAGAUCGCAUGGCUGAUAUGCCGACGAAGAGAACGUGUUGAAAUGCAGUCGACACGCUGCCCCGCUGCCCUCAGAUCUCUCGAUGACAGAGCGAUGGCGUUCUACAGAAAUCUCCAUAAAUCAUCAUUAGGAGAACGUCGUGACAUCCGGCUCAUUAAUCAUAAGGAGAAAUGCCGUAAUGGAGGUGGACUGUAAAUAAGCGGAAGGCCUUCUUGACAAAUGAAUCCAUUAACAUUUCCCUGUGUCGCCUGGCAAGGAGACUUGCCGUUUAUGGGGCAGAAAAAACAGGCCUGUAAAUCUGACCGGCUGCCCGUGAAGAUCCACGCGGAGGCCCGAAACCGUCCCGCCCAUGAUGCAGCACUUUAUCUGCCUCUGAAAUGGCAUCUUUAUCUGCCUAAAUUAAGUUUUGAUUCCUUGCCACAUACGGUGCCACAAAUCACUUUUAGCGCUGAUAUCAAGAGCGGCACUAAAGUCGGCCUGUGGCCAUGAAAAACGGCUUUUUAUUUUGUAGCAUCCUCUGUUGUUCCCGGCCCGGAUUUAACCCCUGCUGCUCUGCAUAUUCCGUGGGCAUAAUCUAUCGCGGAAAGGGCGGUGGACGCUCUAAAAAAGGAUUGAGACAAGGUUUAUGGGCAGAAUAAAUUUCCAAUUUAAAUGUGAUUUUAGCACCGUGUGUCAGAGAAGAAUUCCCUGACUUCUGUUUCACUUCAUAACACCAGGCUGAACUCAGCGCUUUAGAGAUUGAUGGAGUUUUUUUUUCAAGGACGCCCAUCAUUCACUCAGACGGUUAAUGUCUUUGUUAACGGAGGAGAAGAGCUGUCGCGCCAAUGACUGACAGGCCUUUCAUCAUUAGCAAACGCUGAGUGACAGUUUUAGGGAAAAAGCAUCAUUGAGUUCUGAGAGGUCUGCGGGCAGCCAUUCGUUACUGAAGAACUGGACGAGCUCAUGUGACAUUACAAUGUGCUUUCGGUACAGAAUUUGUUAAAGGGCCAUUCGCUUGAAAUAUCUGCACUGACAGUAAAAUACCAACCAGAGCCAUUAGGUUUUAAGCCAAAUCAAUCUCCUCAUACUUUAUAAAAAAAGUACAUUACAGUGUCUCUCAAAAGACACAUUUAUAGAACAGAUUGAGAGCAUCAAUUGUGGAAAAACUUGCGCCCUCCUUCAGAAUAAAAUACAUCUUUAAUUUAAGAGUAAAGGUCUUAAUUCUGCCCUCUAGAGGCUCCAUUUCCUUCACUUCUGUUUCUUCACCUCAACAAACUUGUAGUUUGCAUUUAAUAGCAGGAGUAAAUCAAACCACUUCACAUGAUUACCUGUAGGAUAAUCAGUGUGCUUCAUUAAAAUAAACCCACAGUAUUUAGUGGAUGCAAAUAUAUAUAUAUAUUCUCACAUAACUGCAUUUACCAAACACUGUGAAUUAGCAUAAUAAUACAGGAAAAGAAAGACUAUAAUCAUAGUUUGGUCAAGUUUGAAUCUGUUUCCACGAGUAAUAGAUAAUGUUCUCUCAGGCCCAUCAGCAAAAAAGCAAUUUCCCUCCCGCUGGUAAUUCAAAGUGAAAUGCCAUAAGAUGUCAGAUUCUCACCGACAUCAUUGUUCACCCCACAAAAAACAAGAUGAGCAAAUCUCACUAUUACUGCAGUUCAUUUUGAGCACUUGAUUUCGUUUCCCAUGAGGUUCAUUUCCUCCUGUUUUCGGUUUGAUUGACUGAAAAUAAAAAUAAAAGAUAAACAUC